rnacentral:rRNA from 1 species
UACGUAGGGUGCAAGCGUUAUCCGGAUUUAUUGGGCGUAAAGGGCGCGUAGGCGGCCACGCACGUCCGUUGUGAAAUCGCCCGGCUCAACCUGGGCGGGUCAGCGGAUACGGUGUGGCUCGAGCAAGCUAGGGGGCAAUGGAAUUCCCGGUUGUGAGUGGUGGAAUGCGUAGAUAUCGGGAGGAACACCAGUGGCGAAGGCGGUUGCCUGGAGCUUUGCUGACGCUGAGGCGGCGAAAGCGUGGGGAGCGAGUCCGG